rnacentral:siRNA from 1 species
AAUCCCGAUGAAGCCCGAGACUGC